UACGUAGGGGGCAAGCGUUGUCCGGAAUCAUUGGGCGUAAAGAGCGUGUAGGCGGCCCGAUAAGUCCGCUGUGAAAGUCCAGGGCUCAACCCUGGGAUGCCGGUGGAUACUGUCGGGCUCGAGUCCGGAAGAGGGGUGUGGAAUUCCUGGUGUAGCGGUGAAAUGCGCAGAUAUCAGGAGGAACACCAAUGGCGAAGGCAGCACUCUGGGACGUGACUGACGCUGAGACGCGAAAGCGUGGGGAGCAAACAGG
rnacentral:rRNA from 1 species